rnacentral:rRNA from 1 species
UACGUAGGGGGCGAGCGUUAUCCGGAUUUACUGGGUGUAAAGGGAGCGUAGACGGCCAUGCAAGCCUGGUGUGAAAGGUGUGGGCACAACCCGCACACUGCAUUGGGAACUGUGCGGCUAGAGUGCCGGAGGGGCAGGCGGAAUUCCUGGUGUAGCGGUGAAAUGCGUAGAUAUCAGGAGGAACACCGGUGGCGAAGGCGGCCUGCUGGACGGCGACUGACGUUGAGGCUCGAGAGCGUGGGGAGCGAACAGG